GGAUUAAAGACGGAGCCCAGAGCAUGGAGUGUGUUUACCAUCAAAGCUACGCCCCCUCCCUCAGCUCAGAGAAUCAUCUUUAAAUUUUCCUGGACUUGGAAAGAAACGCAAAUAUAAAACCACCCACCUCUGUUGGUGCGGUGAUGCUAACCCAAAACCAUCUCUUGCCGUUUUGAUGGCACAUGGCUGGGAUCUACACACUUCUGUCUUUGCAGCGUUAAGUGAUAAACUUUUUGAGGCCCCUUGAGCCACGUGGAGUCUCCGCUGAAUGCUUGCUUUGUUAUUUCCCUCUACAGCCUGUAAAAAAAUUGUAAAAGCCUUUCACAUGUUUCAGAGACUAUAUAAACUCAGACUGCAGACCCAAUUUAAAGCCUGCAGGCCAUAAUCUGUGGGCUCUUGGUUUAUGGAAAGCGUUUGCCUCUGAGAUAGUGUCUAAUAUCAGCUCUCUCCUCGGAAAGAUGGUGUGUGUGUGUGUGUGUGUGUGUGUGUGUGUGUGUGUAGCCACACUUGCUUGACAGUAGAAUAUUAGCAGGCAAGAGAGCAAGGCUUGGCUACCUGCUAGCUCAUGGGUGACAGACACAGGGAGAGCAAAGUCUAGCUGGGAAUCUCAGCCAGCCUGUGAUGCUCUACAACACACACUCAGAAAAGGCCUCGGCCUGGGGAAGGGCUCAGAGUCAGAGUGCAAGUUUAGCCUGCUCAAGGCUCUGCUUUUGAUGCAGACGGAGAAUGAAACGGGAGCAGGAAGAAAGGAAGAGAUGGCCUCUGUGGGGUGUGGACUGAGGGGCUGUUGAAUCAUUGCAGUUCUUUCUCUUUAGCUCAGGAAGCACUUACACAAAACGCUUCUUUUACAGCUCUUACAUUUACGUAUCUGUGUGAGUGUGUGUAUGUCUCUACGCAGGUGAUCGCCGUGGAGCAAGUGGGGAGUUCACAGAGCAACAGGUGGACUGACCCCAGGUUGUCAGGCUUGUGACAAGCACCAUUCGUUGACACACAAAGUACUUCUUCAAGUGUGGGCAGGGAAUACCUGCAAAGUGCCUCAGAAUCACUGAAGGUGGUUCCCGGGGCCCUCACAUAGUAGAAAGGAAUACUUUAGGCUAGCAAGGGAGAAACAGACCAUGGAUUGUAAGACCUUAUUUAUUUAUUUUUUCCAGUACUGAGGAUUGAACCCAGGGCCUCAGGCAUGCUAGGCAAAGUUUUACCAAUGAGCAGCCACCACCCCACCACCCCCCAUACCAGACUUUAAUGAGUUCUUUGACUCCUAUGGACAAUAGCUGUUUUGCUUUGGUUUGGUUUUGCCCUGUAGCUUUUUGGAGAUUAUUGGCUUGUUUCUAUUUUACAUGUGUGAAUAUUUUGCCCGCAUGCACCACAUGUGAAAUGUGUCUCUCCAGCUCCUGCUUUGUUAUAAAGAUAAGAUCUUACAGCGAUCAGCCUGGCCUUAAACUCCUUCCUCGUCCUCUUGCUUCUAUCUCCCAAGGGCUAGGAUUACAGGUGUGCACCACC
rnacentral:lncRNA from 1 species